GANNGGAAGAGUGCCUUCGGGAAUGUGAACACAGGNNNNNNNNGGNCGUCGUCAGCUCGUGUCGUGAGAUGUUGGGUUAAGUCCCGCAACGAGCGUAACCCUUGUCUUUAGUUGCCAUCAUUUAGUUGGGCACUUUAAAGAGACUGCCGGUGAUAAACCGGAGGAAGGUGAGGACGACGUCAAGUCAGCAUGCCCCUUACGCCCUGGGCUACACACGUACUACAAUGGCCGAGACAAAGAGUCGCAAGUUUGCAAAGACAAGCUAAUCUCAUAAACUCGGUCUCAGUUCGGAUUGUAGGCUGCAACUCGCCUACAUGAAGUUGGAAUCGCUAGUAAUCGCCGGUCAGCUAUACGGCGGUGAAUCCGUUCCCGGGCCUUGUACACACCGCCCGUCACACCAUGGAAGCUGUUCAUGCCCAAAGUCGUUACCUUAACCGCAAGGA
rnacentral:rRNA from 1 species